CGGGGCCUAUUAUAGCUAACUACCCAGAAAGGGCUUUGCUCAUUGUUGAAGGCCAUAUGGUGACCUAUAGUUGUUAAUUUCUGUGUCAUUUUGGUCUCUUGUGGAGAGUUGUCUCAUUGGCAAUCAUACCACAUCUUCUUUUUUAUAUAUUCAUAUAAAAGCAGACACAUAUCAUAGAGGUUCGAUCCCUUGUACCACAUAUCUCUCCUGCUGUCAGUGUUAUUAUGUAAGGAUGACUGUAAACAGCGAGUUCUUUUAUUCGUAAAAUAUAAAAUAAAAAACAAA
rnacentral:lncRNA from 1 species